UUUUAAGGGUGGAAAAAAAAAGAGAAGAAAAAUCAUAAUGGUGCUGAACACACCCUUAUAUUUAUAUUUCAGGGAUUUAAUCAUGUGAAAAUAGUUCCAAAUGAUAGGCAGCAUCCAGUUACAAGGAGUCAAAAAGACCAGCAUUGAGGUUUGAAUGAUCAAGAAUAAAACAAGCAGUUCACUUGAAAGCCUUUAGUGUUAAAAAAGGCCCACCAAAGGG
rnacentral:misc_RNA from 1 species